CCUGACUCCAGUGAGAGGAGUGGAUUGCUGGCACUUCUGAGACAUCAGCCCAUUCAGGAUUUUUUUCUGCAGUGCCAGAAGAGUUUCUUUCAGGAGAUUUUUUGCUGCAAACAAAAUAUUCUGCCAUCAUUUGAGAUGGCAUUAGAGUCAACUCAAAGCUUCAUCACAGCCUUCAGUGGUAACCAGGACAAUGAAGAAGAGCUAUAGAAGAUAUUUCUGAACCAGAUGGGUAGAAGAAUUCAGAAUUUAUGCCAGUACUGCAGCCAGAGAAAGCAAAGCUGAGAUAUUUAAUUGUUGACUUCAAUGAAACAUGGACUUGAAGUUGUUUCUCUUAAAGGCAUUCUCUAGCUCUGGAAUGUUUGAAACACACAAAAUGUGCGGACUGCUACAAAAGUGCCAAUAAUUCCCCAAAAUGAGGCCAUUAAGGAUGCAGUAAAAUCAAGUGACACUGAGGACAAUACCUGGCAAACGGGGAAACAGACCCCAGCAUUAGGGUCAAAAAUAAGCUGUAAAACCUGAAAGUUUCCUCAGCUCCACAGCUGGAAUCAGUCUUCUGACUCUGUAGAACACCCUCCACUCUUCUCCUCCACCACAGUUUCCAUGGAAAGGGAAUCAGCAGGAGUUUUGGAAGCAAGUCCCAGAAUUUUCUCAGUGGAGUGGAAAAAGGAAGGCAUCAGACCUGAAACACCCUGAAGAGUGUGAGGUCCCACAGCCAGGCACAGAGUCUCCUAUUCUUUGCCAGAUUUUAUUUUCAGGGUACUGCAGCAUUGUGAGGUGCCUAGGAAAAAAUCAUGGUACAUUCUGAAAUGAAAUCUGAUUAUAAAUCUUUUUUACCAAUAAAACACUGCAGAUCUACAGAGUAAUCUUGCUUAGGGAACUUGUAAAUAGGAAAUUUCCCAAUACUGUGCAGCCAAAUUACCCAUCCAGUCUAUAUGUGAAGGUCACUCUGGAGGGCAAGAUGGCAUUUUGCUGUUUUGCAGUGUUUCUGUCUGUGUCCAUCACUCUCUGCUGUUUAAAACGACUUAAAAAUGAUAAAAACUUGUGCUAGCAACUAACUUUAAGACAGAAAAAAAUGCCUGGUUGGUGCCUUCUGUGAAACCUGAUAGUGUUGUUUUUUGGGCACAAACUGCAAUCAAAAGUAGAACAGUUCUAUUCUGGUUGUUCUUGAAAGGUAAGGAGAAGCAAACAACCAUAAAUAGUGAAAAGAUAAUAAACUCAGAAGAACCCACCACUUCAAAAUGUAAAAAAUGUUGGAGAAAGCCUCUGUCUGAAAAAAUGUGAUUUCCUUCAGUUCAAAGUGUGACCAAGCAGAGCUGAUGGAGUGACCUGCCCUGGAACAGAAAGUUUACAGAUUGAAGAUAAACUAGGAUGAUUUGCUGAGUCUAUUGCUGAGCAACACAAUCUCCAUAGAUGACAGACCAGAGGUUUUGAUUCCAACAUUCUAUUUGAAAAUGUGCACUUUAUUUCUUCUUUUAAACCCACAGAUCACUGCUUUCUCAAUUGAAAUUGGGUUUGUAUUUGUUUGUUUGUUUUCCACUCCCCUUCAGCUCCUGACUGUUUUGCUAGCUCAGUGAUUUUGCCAUUUAUCUUCUAGUGAGAAAGCACAGAUCCAUAACUACAGGCCCAAAAUUAAUUAGAUGUAGAAAUAAUAUGACAGCUAUUGAUACGCUUUUCAUAGAGAGAAAUCUUCAAGAAGAAAGGUUCAGACAGAAAGACAAUGAGCAGAAGACCCCAGUCCUCCCCUGGAAGGCCUUAAAGGAAAGAACUUUUACAGAACAAACCUGUGAGACCCUCCAGAAAGAACAAAGGGAACAAAGGGAAAAGUAGCCCCAGUCAAACAUGACCAAAGCAAUAUUUCUGUGUCCUCUGGCAACCACAAGCCCAUUCAGAGACCACUUUAAAAAGGUAUUACCUGCUCAGUGCCCUGAAAAUGAUGAUGGGAAUAAGAUCUGCUGGGCUUGUUGCUGGUUCCUGUAAUGGUUAUUCCACUUUGAGGCAGAUUUUCAAAAGUUUACUAAGCUGAAUCCUUUCCCCUCAGUUUGCUGCCUUCAGGCACUUCCUUUCUCCAGUGUCUUCACUCACCUUAUUUCAGCUUUUCUCAGCUCAGGCAUUUAGGAAGCUGGAACUGAUUCAUACAUCUAACUUGAAGUCACUCAGAUCCUGGAUGGAUUUGGGUCAGCUGUGGCCACCUGGGGAAUGUUACUCUUUUUAUGCCAUGGUUAAAUUUCAUUUUGAUAAUACAUUAAUUAAUAAUUAAUAUUUGCUGAAUGACCUGUGCCUUAGGAAGAAAGAGGUGCUCUGCAUGUGUGUGGAGGCAACACAAUAAAGUACUAACCUGUCAGGGGCUAAAACACAAAGAGCUGAGUGGAUCUGUUGGAUUUUCUGGAAUGCCAAGCUCUGGAGCACCUUGGCCUUGUGUAUGUCUGGCUGCAGAAGUCAUUCACUGUGUGGGACUGGAUGCCAUAAAAUCCCUGUGCCUGCUGUACCCAGUGCAGAGUGAACAGAGAAACAAGAGUGACUUCAUUGCAGCUUUUAGUGAAACCACCCUUGCUGUCCAGCCUCUGGGGCACCAGUGAUUCCUUUUCCAUUACAUGAUGGAACUUAAUCUUUGCCAUUUUAUGUUUACCAGCCCCUCCCUCAGUAUAAUCUCAUUUUGGGAUGCUUCUACCUUUUUUAAGGGAUGGUGAG